GGGUAACACAUACAGAGCCACAGCUGCAAGAGCCAAGAACACCAUAGGCUUCCACAUCCCAAACAUGUUCUGUGGGGACCAAAGACAAAUGGGAAAUCUCCUCCCGUAGAGACCGCAGCUCACCUGCAAAGCCCAAAGACGAUCUUGAGAUGAUCAAGAGGACAAGUGAACUAAUCUACCAUAUUCUAGAAGCAUAAAGUUAAAGGCCUACUUAUUUCUUAUCUGGAAACUCCUGACAACCUGCUCUCUACCCCAUCAGAGAAGUAUAGCUUCACCUGAUAUGGAAUAAAGGGAAUACCUAAGAAGAGAAUAGAGUGAAUCUAUGUAGCAAGGUGCAGUAGAAAAGUAGAUCUUGAGGUUUGGCAUCAAAAACAAAUUAGGCUACUCCAAACAAAAAGUAUUAAGUGCUUCUAUGAAAUCGCCUGACAGUUAAAGACCAAACCUAAUUUACACCAUUUUACUGAUGUCCUGAGUCUUUCCAAAAAGCCCCUUACUAAAAAAAUUUACACAGACUAUUCUCAUCUAUUCAGUCUGGGAGCUUAGAAAUCACAGAGCCUCAGAUCUCCCAUCAACUGCCUGUGUAAGUACUGGUCCUAAAACAAUGUGUAUUUAGAGCUCACAGUUGAAAUUCAAAUAUAGGUUCAUCUCAUGAGAACCAAACAUAGGAAAAUAACCUAGAUGCCAAUCAAUAACGGAUAGCUUAAAUUGAAGAAGGUAAAAUAGAAUAUUGGCAGUCAUUUAAAAGAAAGUGGCAGAUCUAUAGAGAAGACAUGAGAAAGUUUCCAUAAUAUACUAACUAGGAAGAAAAAUGAGCUGUAAAAUACAUGGUAUUAUCUUAUUUU